UGGGGAAUAUUGCACAAUGGGCGCAAGCCUGAUGCAGCCAUGCCGCGUGUGUGAAGAAGGCCUUCGGGUUGUAAAGCACUUUCAGCGGGGAGGAAGGCGAUAAGGUUAAUAACCUUGUCGAUUGACGUUACCCGCAGAAGAAGCACCGGCUAACUCCGUGCCAGCAGCCGCGGUAAUACGGAGGGUGCAAGCGUUAAUCGGAAUUACUGGGCGUAAAGCGCACGCAGGCGGUCUGUCAAGUCGGAUGUGAAAUCCCCGGGCUCAACCUGGGAACUGCCUCUGAUACUGGCAAGCUUGAGUCUCGUAGAGGGGGGUAGAAUUCCAGGUGUAGCGGUGAAAUGCGUAGAGAUCUGGAGGAAUACCGGUGGCGAAGGCGGCCCCCUGGACGAAGACUGACGCUCAGGUGCGAAAGCGUGGGGAGCAAACAGG
rnacentral:rRNA from 1 species